AGUUAAGUUUUCAAGAUUCCAUAUAGUUAUUAUUUUGAAGAAAGCAAGAGUACAAGGUUACAAAAUGGUUCUUUAGCAUAUCCAAUACUCGUACAUAACUCACACAAACAUCUACGAAGCUUCUGAAUAUACAAAAGACAGUAAUAACAAUACUGGCAACAAGGCCCCAGCUAUACCUCAAAGAGGAUAUCUAUAACAAAAGAUGUAUAACAUAACCCCUUGAAGAAGGAAGGGGCUUACCAAGAUUUUGAGAAAAGGUUGCUCCGCUACACACGAUUGGCACUAUCCGCUAUGGAGCCACCUACAUUCAUUUAAAAAUGUUGCAUCCCCGACAAAAGGGAUGUUAGUACAAUGGAAUAGUACUUGCAGAGAUAACUAAACAUCAUCCUGUUAGAAAGAACAACCAUACAAGAGUAAGAGGAAAUCGUAAAGACAACAAAGUAUCAAAUGAGCACCACACCGACAAUAUAACGAGGUUCACAUGAUUUUCACUUGGUUUCUAUAAUUUUAGAUUGGAGCAUCCCAUACUGUCGUAUUACUAUCCACUUUACCACCGCUUCUUUGAGCGGAGUCCGAUCACCACCCGAUCGGUUAAGCCGUCUCCCGAUGAUGUUACCAUUAUUUCAUUCACACUUUCCAGUUUCAAUUAUCAAUACAUUACCACCAUGUGUAUAUAUCAUGGCGUCCGAUCACGGUCCAAUCGAUUAAGCCGCCUCCCCGAGACGUUAUCAUUUUCUAUUAUUCAUUUCACUCCAAUAUUUGGUUACACAUGGAUUAUUUUAUCGACACUUGGGGCCAUAAUUUUCACAUUUCAUAACCUACAUUUCAUAUUGUCCCAUUUUCAAUAUCUACCUUGCCACUAAAAGUCACAGGCAUAUACAAAAGCAAUUUAAGCCAUAAACAUAGAAGGAAAUUCGUCAAGUUUGGCAUAUUAGUUCCAGAGUAACCUUGGCAUGACAAUUAGACAUUUGUCAUAUAAAUUAUAUUCUCCACACAUCUUCGUUUUACAAGAAUAGCACAUAAACACAUAAAGAAGUUCCUACCACAUAUAUUUUUACAACAUCAAUUCACUUAACAUAACAAGCAUUGCAUCAACUAUGGUUCGAACUUUCAAUACUUACAUGGGCACCAUGGAAGCUCAAUUUCUAAGAGGAGGGGUUUUUAGCCAUACAUACCUCAAUAAAGUUUU
rnacentral:lncRNA from 1 species